GCCAGACUCCUACGGGAGGCAGCAGUGGGGAAUAUUGCACAAUGGGGGAAACCCUGAUGCAGCAACGCCGCGUGAAGGAAGACGGUUUUCGGAUUGUAAACUUCUGUUCUUAGUGAAGAAGAAUGACGGUAGCUAAGGAGCAAGCCACGGCUAACUACGUGCCAGCAGCCGCGGUGAUACGUAUGGAGCAAGCGUUAUCCGGAUUUACUGGGUGUAAAGGGAGCGCAGGCGGCCUUGCAAGUCUGAUGUGAAAGCCCGGGGCCCAACCCCGGGACUGCCCUUGGAACUGCACGGCUGGAGUGCGGGAGGGGCAGGCGGAAUUCCUGGUGUAGCGGUGAAAUGCGUAGAUAUCAGGAGGAACACCGGCGGCGAAGGCGGCCUGCUGGACCGCGACUGACGUUGAGGCUCGAAAGCGUGGGGAGCGAACAGGAUUAGAUACCCCUGUA
rnacentral:rRNA from 1 species